rnacentral:lncRNA from 1 species
CUGAAUUUAUUCUUCUUUCUCCCCAGAAACACGAAGUCUCCAGUGUUCAAUUAAGCUAUUCAGAUACCGAUCAAGAAACAAUCCAAGAGCACUUAAAGAGCUCCAUGUAUAACACUGAUUGCUUACUGGUGCUGAUAAUGCCAUGUGGAACCAGAGCUAUUUGGCAUGGCUGAAAAUCAAAUCCACAUUAUUGAUUACCCUCAGACUCUUUAGCAGACCUGCACCCUCAUGGCC